CCUACGCUGUCGUCGUACGUCAACGUCGCCGCCUUAUUGGACGUGUCGCACCUUCGCUCACAAUUAUGCGCGCAUGUUUCUGACUGUGUGACGUUAGCUGAGCUAGCCACGUUAGCUCCGUUACCAACACUUGAGCCAAGAAGACUGGAUUUUAUUCAUCUACAGGCAACAAGGGGCUUUUAUUUUGAAACGUAAUCAACGCGCCCUCUCGCUAGGGGACUGAGAGGAGGAACUCCACAGAAUAUCUGGAGCAACUGACUUGGACAUUUGCGUUGUCACAUACAGCCCCGCCGGAUAGUUUCAGGAGGAUAUUGGGAGUUCAGUGGGAUUGUCUGAAAGCAGCGACAGUGACUCUGCUGCAGCCUGUCUCCUGCUCUCUUACUGUCUUCCUUACUCUCCUCACCUGUCUCUGUCUCAUGUAUGUGGAUGUCUGAGCACACGCUCGUGCACCUACAUUCACACACGUAUACACAAAUACGCACACACACACACACACACACGCUCACAACGGGAGUCAGGGCCUGUAGCUCCUGGGUGUUUUGCGGGUUGGAUUCACACCGAUGCUUUCUCAGACUGCACUAUUGUUAUUUAAAUGUGGGAGGGCGAUCAGCAGCAAGCAUUAAUAGCAUCCUCAGCACUGCGGAUGGAGCACAGGACACACACACAAAAGCAUACACCCAUAGACAUCCACACAUGCACACGCAGACACACACUUUCAUGCAAGCCUUGUGGUUGCACCUUAAGGGCCAUAUGAAUAACAAAUACCUCUGCCAUCUGCAAUACCACAGAGUAUUUCCAACCAU